CCUCUCCUCGUCGGCAGGCCGCUACCGUCGUCGAAGGUUCGUACCUCCCCCGGUUACGGUCUAUCGCUCGUCUCGCGCUCGGCAGCAGGAUCGAGCUCGUCUCGCGCCCGGCAGCAGGACCGACCUCGUCUCACGCCCGGCAGCAGGACCGACCUCGUCUCGCGCCCGACAGCAGGACGAGUCGAUGGAGGCGUUGGGGGCAGCCCAGGGGUGCGAAAGGCGGGUCCUUUCCGCCCACAUCUUUGGUGGGGGUAGCGGUGGGCCUCGAGUGAGGUGGUGUCCGGGUCUUGGAUGUCGGGGCGGCGGCCCUGGUGGUGGUUCCGCGGUGCUCAUGGGCAGAGCCCGCAGCUAGGUGCUGCCCGGUGGCCAUGGUCGUGUGGGCGGCGUGGUCGCCGGGGUGUGGCGUUCGGUGGUGGUGAUUGUUGGUCGGGGUGAAAACCUGUUCUAUCUUCGGACGGACUGGCGACGCCGAAGCUUGUUCCCUUCUUGAAGGCGUCGUCGCGGCUCUCAUUACCCAUUUUGUUGCUCCAGGGGAAACUCUAAUCCUCGGGUCGGGUGGUGGCGGCGCUUCGGUGUCGUAUCCUUCCUGAAGGUGCCGCCUUGGAGCCCACGAUCCGUCGUAUGUGGCUUCAUCUCUUCGCGGUGGCGUGUUCACGAUUGAGGACCCCGGUUGCUCUUGUAGCGCUAGGGCUGUUGUUGCGCUCAGCGCCUAUGUAUCAUGCCUUGGGUGUGUGCGUGUGUAGUAUUGGCGGGUGUUUGUACCGUGUUGUCGAGAAUCAUUGCUUUAUACAUAAAGCGGGGCGAAAGCCUUUUUCGGUAAGUACAUACCAUUGACCAUGAAUAUCCUGGAACAUGCAUGAAAGUCCCUUUUCCCACCUUGCUUCAUAACUCGCACCCGCUGUAGCAUGUCAUAUUAAUAUGACCAAAACAAGCAAUUAAAC
rnacentral:lncRNA from 1 species